CCUACGGGAGACUGCAGUGAGGAAUAUUGGUCAAUGGGCGCGAGCCUGAACCAGCCAAGUCGCGUGAAGGAUGACUGCCCUACGGGUUGUAAACUUCUUUUAUAAAGGAGUAAAGUGAGGCACGUGUGCCUUUUUGUAUGUACUUUAUGAAUAAGGAUCGGCUAACUCCGUGCCAGCAGCCGCGGUAAUACGGAGGAUCCGAGCGUUAUCCGGAUUUAUUGGGUUUAAAGGGAGCGUAGAUGGGCUGUUAAGUCAGUUGUGAAAGUUUGCGGCUCAACCGUAAAAUUGCAAUUGAUACUGGCAGUCUUGAGUGCAGGUGAGGUAGGCGGAAUGCGUGGUGUAGCGGUGAAAUGCUUAGAUAUCACGAAGAACUCCGAUUGCGAAGGCAGCUUGCUAAACUGCCACUGACGUUGAUGCUCGAAAGUGUGGGUAUCAAACAGGAUUAGAUACCCCAGUAGUC
rnacentral:rRNA from 1 species